GCCAUGUAAGAUCACUGGCGUGAUCAGCUGAUUGUCGAUCAGAUAGAGACGGGUUCGAUCCCCGUACGUGGCG
rnacentral:tRNA from 1 species